rnacentral:rRNA from 1 species
GAUAAACGCUGGCGGCGUGCCUAACACAUGCAAGUCGAACGCGCUUUCUCGCAUGCUUCGUUAAGAAGCGAGCAAGAGAGCGAGUGGCGGACGGGUGAGUAACACAUGGGUCACCUACCUUUCAGUGAGGAAUACCGACGAGAAAUCGUCGACAAGACCGCAUAUGCUCUUUGCAAAGAGAGCAAAGUCCUUUCGCAAGAAGGGACGCUGGAAGAUGGGGCCNGUGGCCGAUUAGCUAGUUGGUAGGGUAAUGGCCUACCAAGGCGACGAUCGGUAGCUGGUCUGAGAGGACGAUCAGCCACACUGGGAUUGAGAACGGCCCAGACUCCUACGGGAGGCAGCAGUGAGGAA